rnacentral:rRNA from 1 species
UACAGAGGGGGCAAGCGUUGUUCGGAAUUACUGGGCGUAAAGGGCGCGUAGGCGCCUUCUAAGUCGAACGUGAAAUCCCCGGCUCAACCCGGGAACUGCGUCCGAUACUGGCAGGCUUGAAUCCGGGAGAGGGAUGCGGAAUUCCAGGUGUAGCGGUGAAAUGCGUAGAUAUCUGGAGGAACACCGGUGGCGAAGGCGGCAUCCUGGACCGGCAUUGACGCUGAGGCGCGAAAGCCAGGGAGCAAACGGG